GGGCUUGAGCGGGGCUGCGUCCGCCCCGCCACCUGCCUCACACGAGGACAGGGAGACAGCGGGUGCCCGAGGCUUCCCUUUUCUGCCUUCCACGCCUCGGCCACAGAGGCUGGAGCCCCGGCCCUGUGUCCCAACCUGCAGCCGGCCGCGCCCACCCCCACGUGACGGACUGGCCCAUACAUUUCCCCAUUCAGCUGAUGGUGAGUGCUGUGCUAUUUUAAGCCCACAUGGAAGUAUUUUUUUUUUUUUUUGUAAGGACCAUCUGCUACCGGCCCCAGCCCAGAUGAUACAGUUAGAACCUACCCACAGCAUCCUCUCCCGCCUUCAGACAGUUCCAGGAACAAGGAACAUGUAUGACCCCCAUCUCAGAUGCUGCAGACUUUGCCUGGGACCUGUGUGAGUCUGAGCCCUGAGCCCGGGAGAGCCAUCGUCCCUGUGGGGUCCUGAGGCUGGCAGACAGUAGCAGUGGAGUGGAGGAGGGCUACCUGUCCACCCUCCGUACCCACUCUCCUCCCAGCCAUGUGCUUGGACCAUGGCUUCCCUGGGCCAGACACACUUUGCUAGGCAGAAGAGCCCAAAACAGUUGCGAAUGCCAUUUCCCUCCCCCCAACAAGGAAAUGAUGCGCUUGAAAGGAAGCCGUGUAAGGAGUGGAUGAGGUCCAGGUGUUUUCCUGGAAGCUCGGAGCCUGCCGUGGCUCUGCCGUGGCCCUGCCGUGGCCCCUGCCCUCUCUUUGCCGCCGGUUCCCUCCUCUGGACUCGCCCUGCUCAGAAGCAGCCGUUCUCGGACCUGACCAUACCCCUUUCUGGAAAGCACUGCUGCGGCCGUUAGGUGAGCUGGCGGGAAGGCAGGGUGUUCUGGGCCCGGCUGUGAUGCCAGCCGCGGAGGCCGUGAUGGAGCUUUCGGGCCAUCCUGGCAACGGGCGCACGUGCAGUUUACGGCGAUCCCGCGCUCGCACCAUGGGGGUGAUGCCGGCGAGAACGACACGGCACGGGGCCAAACGCAAAUUGUUUUAAAACGCACGAGCGAACUUGGUUCAGGUGGUGCCAGAGAAUUCUCGAUUUCAGUGGAGGGUGAUUUUGUGCACGUUUACUGCUCUCAUCCAAUAAAAAUGCAACUGCUCGCGGAGACAUUGGGUUGCGGUUUUAGGAGACGCUGUCAAAGAAAGGCCACAAAUUUAACCCAAUUUGCCGCACUGAGUUUGGUUGCUUUCUUCAAAGCGCCGUCAGCCCUUCAAAUCUGCGAGCUUUCUUUUUCUCUGCGAAAUGGUUACUCUGACCGUUUAGAAUAAUUUGAGUAAACGACGCUCAACUUGAGCCACUCAAAGUGCCCGAGUGCCCUCAGGUGAGGCCUGUCAGGUGUGUGGUGUGGUUCCUGAUCCCAAGGAGUUACAGAAAGACAGCCUCGAAUAGCAGGGUGUUCAUGGGAAAACGUGGCACGGGCCGUAGGUCCCACCAGGGGUCAGGGAACGAACGGCUGGGGUCACCCACCGUGUAAGCAACACCUGCUCCAUCCCGAGCUGAAUUCACAGUGUACGACCCGCAUAGCUGUAGAGAGGGGGUCACGCCAGGGUGCAUCACGUCUGUACUUAGAAGGGUCCUGCCCGUGAUCGAAUGCUCCGUGUCACCCUUCUGAAACACUUGGUCACCAGGAGCCUGGAGCUGUGUAUUUGCAGUUUGUGCCAAAGUCGUUUGCUUUUCUUUCUGGACACACAGCUCGACCCCAUCACUCACCGUCUCCUGCAGCUAGGAAUGGCCAUGUGACCAGGUUUAGCCAAAGGAAUGUGAGUACCGUUUGCGCGCCUGGCCCUCCCCCAACACGAGCUUGGUUCAGGGGGGUGCCAGAGAGUUCUGGAGCUCAGCGGAGAGUUACUUGUGCACUUUCACAGCCGCCAGCCAGCCACGAUGCAGCUGCUCACGGGGUCAUUGGGUUGUGCUUCUAGAAGCUGCUGUCAAGGAAAGUAGACCAGGCUUCCCCCCCUGUGGCUCACUGGGCUGUGUCCCCCAGGGGGCUGUGGAAGCCCGCGCUGAGGCUGGCGUAGCUGCUGCUGGCCUGUGUCUGGGCGUCUGGAUAACUGUGCGGAGCAGGAGGCCCCCUCCCUGUCCCGGGCACUCGGAGCUGCUCAGGACUCUCACCAGAGCAAAAAAUAAAUGUCUCUCGUCAAGAGACUCCAGACUCAGUUCUGUGUUUUCUGUAGCCCCACCUGCCACGAUGCUUCUUUUCAGAGGAAGGAAGUCUUUCUCAGAAGUCUCCCCGCGACUCCCUCCCCUUGGAUUGUUGCUUGGAAUUCAGCCUCGUGGCCGUCCCUACACCAAUCCCCGUCCAGGGCACGGGCCCUGCCACCAUCCGCUUGGAUAAUCAGGACUUGCUCCUGGAAGGCCCGUGGCUCUGCACAGCUCAGCACAACUGGGCUUUGAACAGCGGGCAAUGAGAGACACUUGCCAGUGGGAGAGCAGCCAAACAGUAUUUGCCACAGGGCAGUAAAAGGAAGGCUGUGGGUUUUCUUUUUCCCAGCUUUAUGGAGAUAAAAUCGACUUAUAACAUCGCAUAAGCUUCAAGUGCACAAGGUGAUGAUCUGAUCCACGUAUGUAUCAGGAAACAGUUACCACAAUAAGCUUAUUUGUUUGUCUUGAGAGGGAGAGAGAGGAUCCCAAGCAGGCUCUGAGCUGUCAGCUGGGAGCCCGACGUAAGGCUCGAACUCACGAACCCGGAGAUCAUGACCUGAGCCAAAAUCAAGAGGUGGACGCUUAACCGACUGAGCCACCCAGGUGUCCUGAAGAAGCUGUGAUUUAAAUAAUAAGGAUUUCUCGGAGCAGCAAAGGGCCAGAGGCCGACAGGGCUAUGCUUUCUGAGAAUUGUCCAUAUUUGUGCUCUAUAGUCCUCUGGAAGUCCAGAUCUUCCUGGUAUUAAAGAAAACAUGAAAAGCUGGAGGGAACUACCUGGCGCCACCUGAUCCUUUCUGUUUAAUAGAGAUUGAAGAUAGUUGGCCAUCUGGAAAAGACACCGGGAAACAGAGGGGACUUUGUCCCCGAGCUGGGCUCUGAGCCUUUAUGAAAUGGGUCCUGAUAUCAAGAAGAAUGUCUUGCUCGAAGCCAGUUUCGUUUGGGGUGAAGUCUGCACUUGAAGUUCCUCUGCUGACCUGACUCUGUGUGCAGGUGGGGCGGGACGGAUGGAGAACCUUGGCCAACAGCCCGCCCACCUUGGGUCCCUUUCUGUAACCACGAGGGCUACGUGGAACUACAACUGUAGGUCUUGUGGAAGUGAAAACUGUAGUGGUCCCCACCCCCCAUGUUUAUUUUGGGGCUUCUGGUUUGGGACUCACCUCACCUAUCUGAAGGACUGGCUUGAAGUGGACUUAUUUGGGACCUUUCUUUAGAGAACUCAAAAGCCUUUGUUUGUAGCCAUAUCUUCUUUGAUAAUACCGACUGACAUUAGAAGCAGAGAUAUAGCUUCAACGACAGUUUUCCACAACUCACGUUUUUUUGUCCCAACCUCUGUGGUCGCUGGCAGAACUGCCCUGAGUUCGGGUCUCAUUCCCAGAAUGUAGCCUGGGUAUAAAAACCUGGGGCCAGGAAGGUCUGAGCCACUGGCGGUUGGACCUGUGGUAUCACCAGAGCUAAAUCGAAACACAGAUGAUAACAACUGCCCUCCUCACUCCCCCACCCUUCGGAAGAGCAGAAACUGAACUUGAAGCUGUGAGAGCUAUAAAGAGUGUUUAACUUCUUUUAUUAUUAUUAUUUUAGAGACAGAGAGCACACGCAAGUGGGGUAGAGGGGCAAAGGGGGAGAGAGAGAGAGAGACAGAAUCCCAAGCAGGCUGCACACUCAGUGCAGAGCCUGACGUGGGGCUUUAUCCCACGACCCUGGGAUCAUGACCUGAACCAAAAUCAAGAGUCAGAUGCUCGGGACGCUUGGGUGGCUCAGUUGGUUAAGCGUCCGACUUCGGCUCAGGUCAUGAUCUCACAGUUCGUGAGUCCGAGCCCCAUGUCGGCUCUGUGCUGACAGCUCGGAGCCCGGAGCUUGCUUCGUAUUCUGUGUCUCCCUCUUUCUCUGCCCCUCCCCUGUUCAUGCUCUGUCUCUUAAUAAUAAAUAAACGUUAAAAAAAAAGAAAAAGAGUUGGAUGCUCAUCUGAGACACCCAGGCCCCAAGAGUAUUUAACUUCUGUUUUUUUUUUCAAUUCUGAUUUUUAAAUGAUCCAUUCUGAGGUUAUUAGAACAUAAUGUAGAAUUUGAUUAGAGUAAAACCAGAGUGACUUGUAUAACUUGCUUUAACCCCUGCAAGUGCAAUUGUGGUAAUAUCACUUCUAAGCUUCCAAUUAAUUUAUUACACAUGCACAUGCUCUUCUGUAACCUGCCUCUUGAGGGUAUCUUCCAAAAUGUGUGUAAACUUGGAAGGAGGGAUAACUUAGUCCAAAGACGGUCGGUUAAUUCUGCUUCUAAAAGUCAGCUGUAGAAGGAACUGGAAAGUUGCUCAAUCUCCACCAUCGUACCUGCCCCUUACUAUCACCUGGUGUCACUGCUGCAGGUUAUCCUGCAACAGCUCUAUGGAUGCUUGUCCAUUAUGCGUUGAUGUUCUGUGUUCUCUGCCCUGCACAGGCUGGGAUGAUGGUUCAUGGGUGGCCUCUCAGGGCACAGUUCUCUAGUUCACAAGGGUAAACUUAAGCCAGGUGUUCCUGGAGCAGAGCACAGUGCCUGGAUGCCGUGUUCUGAGGAGUUACCAGCACAGGCUAUGCCAGAAGAAUCCUUCUCGACAAGCCUUAGGCCACGUAUCAAGAUCCAGCCAACAAGUAGACUCCUAAUGACUUACUAGGUGAAUUUCUCUUUGGGACUCUUGAUAUCGCUUCUUACAGAUCUUGGGUCAGGGCCACCACUGUUUUCCCCCACACGCCCUGAAUUUUGAACAUCUGGCUCUUUUGUUUUUUCCCCCAUGGGCUUUGGGCUUCCUUUAUGUAUCUCUUUGUCUUCAGUGGCCAGUUCCUCAUACCAAGAGGAAGGAGAUGUUUGCUUUUGUCCAAAUACAACAUGUCCAUUAGGUCCCAAAGGAGGCCCUCAGGUGAAGCACCGUUGAGCAAAGAAAAUACGUUCAGAAGUGGAUUUGUGUCACACGCAAAGAAGGAUGUGUGUGUCUGUGGCAAAGGGUGGCGGGUUGGGUAGCAAAUAGUUUUGAUAUUUGGUUACAAAAGACUCAAAACCCUAAUGGUUUUGCAUUUAACGGUUUGCAUAUAGCACUCAUGGUCUCUGGGCUAUGGACAUUGAAUCUCUCUACAAACUGUUCAAUAUCAGAAAGUCUCACAAGUUACUUGUUGGUAAAGUAACCCAAAGCUUCCAGAUUGGUUUCUAAAAUUUAAGUAAUUCCUUUUCAUAAGAACAAAUUCUUCAAAAUCUGGGGGAAUAUUUCUUUAAAAAUGACUUUUGUAUUUUUAAUAUUAAAAAGUAGACCUAUGUUAAAGACUAGUUUUUAAAGAAUUCUUUAGAGCCUUAAGGCCUAUAACCCUUAGACAAAUACAAAUGAAUGCCCAUCAAAGAUUUUACUUAACUCAUUCAUUAACGAGGGAACCAAUAAAAUGUUACAACCAGCUCAAAAGAGAAUUCAAAAUACACACACACACACACACACACACACACACACACACAGAGGCCAUCAGGAGCACUGAAGUGAAUUUACAAAUAGAUGCAAAACUGGUCAAAAUCUAUAGAACGAUAAUCAAUUGCAUCACCACACAACACAAUUUGCAUUUCUAGAACAAUAAUUUCUAUUAUUAGAGGGAAAGUGGAAUGAACAAUGUUCAACUUCCACCCAAGUGCUCUUGAACUUGGCCUGUUUUCUUUUGCUAAUCAUUGGUCUCUUCUACACCAUUAUUACUUUCUUUCUUCCCCAGGAAGAGAAAAAGUCUUCUCAGGAUGCACAUUAAUUUUAGAACCUUUACAUUAUUAGGAAAAUCAGGUGAGAUAAAGCUAGAAGUCAUUAAAAAGCUUGUAGAAUCGUUUGGCUUUAGAAGAACGUUUACUUAAAAUCUUUCUUUCUGGCCAUAAAAAUGAAUCAAGGCAAACAAUUAAACGUGAAAGUGAGCAGUAAAGAGAGACAAACGUAUUGCUAAUGGGGAGAGUCAUUGUGUAAAGUUUGUAAGGUGUGCCCUUCCCCACCAUCUCCACGGCUGUGACUUGUAGACUGGCGUGACGUGUAAGCCCGUCCCCUGGGGUCUGCCCCCCACGGUGCUAUACAAUGGAAACGAGCCUUUAAUUCUGUUGAAGUUCAUAUAGGGUCUUGCUGUGUAGUUUAGCCUGGUUUACACUGACUGGACAAUAUAUAGUAAUGCAGGGUUUGCACUAUUCUGGAAUGAGGCCCUAUAUACCGCUUUGACAAAACAUUUUAUGUGUCACUUUAACCUUGGAUAUUGAGAAUUGUCUCCAUAUAUCCUUCAUAAGAAUAACCUUGGUCUCACUGCCGAGAGUCGAGUGGAUUUUGAAUGCCACGUGAACCUCCCAAGUCACGCGUUUCUUCUAUGCACAUCUGUCUGUGGAUGACCCAUCUUGUGAGUCUAAGAAGGAUGGGCCAGAGCAGGGGUUUUAUAGUUUGGCCUAAAUGUAGCUAUGGAAUCCACUUAAAAAAAUACUUUUUCCUGGAUUUUAUGGCAAGGGUUUUCGCUGCCGCUGUUGUUUUGAUCUCGUUUUCGGUUGGUUUUCUGUCCCCACCUAUGUUUCCUUCUUCUGUUCUUACCCACUCACUAAUGCGACAGCUCCAAGGCGGGCUUGGCCUCCCCACGGGCUCAUGACCGCUUGGUGAGCGGAGCACCUGUCUUGUUCACGGGUGGGCCCCUUGCUCAGUAUCAGGCCCAGACAAAAUUCCUAGCCAAUGUUUACUGAAUAAAUUGGUAGUGCACCUCGUGAUGUAGGGCUUUGGGGCAAAGGGGAGAUUUUGUAUUUCAGUGUUAAACCAAGUUCGGUCUAACAGGGGCGUUCUGAUUUCCCUGUGUUUGGGGUCAUAGCAUGGUAAUAUUGCUAUUUAUGUUUGGAGCAAGUCCAAGAUCACCACUCUAGUGAAGGCACUUCCAUCUGAGAAUGGAAUGAAGGCAGGAUGAAAGGGAGGUCAAGCAGUCAAUGUCAAGGAGAGAAUUGAUGGAGGGAAACCAUUAGAGAUCAUCAGGUCCCAGGCCACACAGUUACUCUGAAAUCUGGACUAGAUCCCACGGGGGCCACCAGAAUCUGGGCACCCCCGCACCCAGUCAUGCUCCCUCCCUCAAUCCCUAAGGACUAGGGUGUGGAGCUUGAAGGAGAAAAGUAUAGACAGGACCAUGGUGCAGGGAGAAGACCCCUUGGCUUCCAAUCAGGCAGCUACGGAGUCAAGGUUUUGCAUUCCUAGUCAUGCAAACGUGACCUCUGCAAAAUGGGAGAAUGCUGCUGAAUUCAGAGUCAUUUUUAUACGGAUUAAGCAAAACAGUGUCUGUGAAAAUGGAUCUGGCACAUGCAAGGUGCAACACAGAGGGUCAGACCAUGACCUGAUCCAGGUGUUGGGUCUUAAAUUGUUCCGGUGUCAUCUUUUUUUUUUUUUUUCUCAUUUUAUCCAUGAAUGAUCUAUUUCCUCAUCCAGGAGUUCAACAGUGCUUACUGAGCACCUGCUAGAAAUCAGGGGUGCUCUGGGAAUUGGGAAUAUUAAGAUAAGCGUGUCAUCCUGGUGGCCUGACUGGCUCAGUUGGUUAAACAACUGACUUCAGCUCAGGUCAUGAUCUUGCAGUUUGUGAGUUCGAGCCCCGCAUCGGGCUCUGGGCUGACAGCUCAGAGCCUGGAGCCUGCUUCGGGUUCUGUGUCUCCCUCUCUCUCUCUCUGUCCCUCCCCUGCUCACACUAUCUGUCUCUUAAAAAUAAACAAAAACAUUUAAAAAAAAGUGCCAUCCUAUGCCAGCCUCUUUGUGGGGGGCAGGGAUGGUUUGGGGUCACACCGUCUUCACUAUCAGCAUGGAGACUCCAGGGACACACAGGCGAGGCGUCAGUCCAAGCUAAUGGAUUCUGGCGGGAACCCCAGUGGGGAUUCCGAAAGCCUCCUGCAGGGAGGCUACUUAUGAUUUGCAGGUGAUUUAAGAGAUUCUCCAAAAUUUUGUCAAGAGUGAAAACAUCCUGUGAUCUGACAUCUAAUGGUAUUAUGUUUGUCGCCCUCUGACCUGUGUAGACUCCUUAUCAUGUUGGUAAAAGAAUUCCAUUCAAGGGGGCAUCUGGGUAGCGCAGUCGGUUAAGCGUUUGACUUCAGCUCAGGUCAUGAUCUCAUGGUUUGUGGGUUCGAGCCCCGUGUCCAGCUCUUUGGUGUCAGCGAGGAGCCUGCUUCAGAUCCCCCGUCUUCCCCCUCUCUGCACCUCCCUGCCCGCACACUCUCUCUCUCAAAAAUAAAUUAACAUUAAAAAAAAUUCUAUUCAAUCAAAAGCAGUCCUGCACUCUGGUUCAAGAUUUCCCUUGAUGUAGAACAGGACAGCAUUUCCACUAGACAGAGGCCUGUGAAGUGCUCUGUGAAAAAGGGUCAAACAAUUGGAGACACAUUCUUGCUCUAGCCUCCUCCUAAGGAGUCAUCAUGUACAAAGGUUUGGAGAGGAUGCACAGACCUAUUGAACCUUAGUUCUGGUUACCUCUAGGGCUGGGACUGGAGAAGAGAAGAAGAGAUUAUCAAUAUUUAUUUUAUAAACAUCUCAAUUGUCUGUUUACCAGGAGCUUGUCUUAUUUUUAAGUUAAAGCAUUCUAUAGGGACGCCUGGGUGGCUCAGUCGGUUGAGCGUCCAACUUCGGCUCAGGUCACGAUCUUGCAAUCUUUGAGUUUGAGCCCCGCAUCAGGCUCUGCACUGACAGCUCAGAGCCUGGAGCCUGCUUCGGAUUCUGUGUCUCCCUCUCUCUGUGCCCCUAACCCACUCGCAUUCUGUCUCUGUCUCUCUCAAAAAUAAAUAAACAUUAAAAGAAAACUUUAAAAAAUUCUAUAAAAUAAAGAAAAAUAAACAAAAAAGGAUACCAGAAAAAGGUUCUGAGAAGUCCUGCCCUAAGAAACCCAGCACUUCCCACAUGUUUCUGAUCAGGCAUCCCUUACCUGGCUCUCUGGAACAUUCUCUGGGAGGUGCUGUUCUCAUAAGCAUCCAGUUUCCUCGACUGUGUAUGUCUUAGAAUAAUUUAACUCUAGAGUUAGAAGAGAGUUGACAUGUAACCCAUGAGCUUUAUUUUACUUGAAAACAAAGUGAGGACCUGAGAGUUUAGGUGGCUUGCCUCAGGUGACAUGGCUCAGUGGUGGCAGAUGGGGAGGGAGCUCCCCAUCUCCUUCACCAGGGAGAAGAAGCCUCCUGUAACCCACUCCUGGGGGGCAGGACACCCUCACCUUCAUAACUGAGACAGGUGAGCAAGAGAGGCCAUGGAGACAGGUCAUGUGUCCUGGGAAGUCAGAACACCAGCUCGGCCGUGUGAACUGCUCCGAGACACUCACCAUCGUAUGUCUUCUGGAAAGAUAAAUAAACUUUCAGACCUGGGCUCAGAGACUCACUGUCACCACCCUUGGCUACAAGAAUACGUCAUCACCCCUCUCUCUCCCAACGCCCGUCCUCCAUCAGGGAAGAGUCUGGGCGAGGGCGGCCCGCAUCUUGGCUCUCCAAGGCAUUGCAGCCGGACCUCGAGCCCUCACCUCCUUGAUGCACUUCUGCCCGGCUUCCCAGAUUCUGCAGACGCUGGACAGAAGCAGGAGGCACAGCAAAUGACUGACUUUGGGCAUCCUUCACCUGGGUCCCGGUAGGACAUUUUGUGGGAAGCUUUUGUGGGUAUCAGCCAGCUUCCCCCACCAAAUGAGAAAGCGGCCCAGUGCUUCCUGUGAUGGCCAAGGUGAUUUCGGCCUCCAUCCACGUCCCAAAGGAACUGUCUUUGCAAGGGGACACGGAAGGGACCAGGGGCACAGCUGCAGUUCUACAGCCAGCGAAACACAGGAGGCACAAAGAUUUUAAUCUUGACAUUCCUUAAUUCAAAAAAUAAAAACAGAACACAACCAGCACGCUUGCCAAGACCAGGCCUGAAGCCCCCUCGGGAAUGAGGAGCAGAGGACAGCCAGGGGGUGCCGGGGAGGGUCAGGCGGUCUCUGAUCUGGGAUCACUCACAUCUCUUAUAAAAGGUAAGUACACCGGCCCCCGGGGGGCCCUGAGCGCCACACCGCAGCUGUGAUUUAUGUGGAGGAGACUGGCUACGAAUCAAACGGCUUUAAGUAGUAGUUUCAGCGCAGCAAACGAAUUGACACGCAAAGAGAAUGGAAAAUGGCUCUGUGUUUUAAUCCACAAGUGUCAUAGAACUCGGUUUUCAGGCUGGAACAAAGUUUUGGCUCUCUUUGACAAAGUGCCUCUGUGUGGAGUACUCAGUGGGGGUGAGAGACCAGAGAGCGACUGUUGGGCGCCUCCCGGUCGAUGGCUUUGUCACCUGAGAGAAAGCCAGCCUCAAAGUAGGUUAGUAAAUGCUUUCUCCGAGGUCUUAGUGGGGAUCCAGUCUUGCAAUUGCUCCAAAGGGCUGCUGGGGAGCUCGUUAGCUACAGGGGAUCAUAUAUCCAAGAGGGGAAAAGAGUAUAUACGUGCUUGCAAGCAGCUCUCUAAAUACUUGCGUGUCACGGGGUAUAAUUUGUUACGGUUGUAAAAACCGAGGUUUUCUGAUUUCUGAAUAGACACAAGAAAGACCCUUAGGUCAUCUUCACGCAUUAUGUUUCUAUCGUAUCUGAUUGCUCCAAAAUAUCACAUGCCUCUGCUUCACUGGUUUUCCGGUUCUUCCUGUUUUUGAUAGCUCCUUGAGGUCACUUGAGGUGGUCACAGAAGGCUGACAUCAGUCACCUCCUGUAGCUUUCGUGCAGAGCCCGAGGGGCCCCAGCGAGAAGCCUUCCGAGCUGGAAACCAAGGAGUCCGUUCGUCCUGCUGCUGGUGGUACAAGGCGUUCAGAGCCCUCAGAGCAUCUCUGCCAGGAAAAAGUCUUGGGCUGUCAUUGUCACCACCGCUUUUGCGCCAUGUGAAAUUGCUGGUCCUGGCGUGAACUAAAUCCCGAAGGAUGCAAAGGCGAGACUGGGGUUCAUACCCGUCAGCCCCCCCUCCCCACACCGUAGCUGGGGAUGAGACAGAAGAUGUGGCUGGAGAACACCAUGCCAGCGACCAGAAUUUCUGGAAUACAUUCGUUCUGCUAAUUUGAACAUUGGAUACCUCUUAUAUCUUAAUAAUGAUUCCUAAUUAUUUCACACGUGUAGAUCUCAUAUCGCUCAAAAGAUGAAAAGCUUCCCCCAAAACAGGGAUCAAACUUAUGGUCCUCUUGUAUUUCUCAAAAUGCCUAGCACUUCGGGAAAGAAUAGAUUGAAGACGUACUUGUUGCCUUGAGUCAAAUGUCUGUGGAGACAGGAGGGAGCCACUGCAUGAUCAUCGAAGUCCCGGAAUUAUUCAAAGCCCUGAUUUCAGCUGUGGAAUUGAGCACUCUUUCCCCUAAAGCCUCUUAUCAUAAAUACAGUAGAGAAAAAAGGGGGUUAUUAUGAUACCAUCUCUCUUUGCUUCUCCUACUCUCCUGCUGGUAUUGAAAUGAUCAAGAGAGUAGAAAAGUGGCCAAAAACAAAACAAAACAAAACAAAACAAAAAAACAAGAAAAAAACCAAACCCACGCAGAGGCAACACAUGAAGAGAGCCUUGAGAACCACAAAUAAGGCAGCCCUAGAAUGACUGAGCAGACCAAGACCUUAGAAACCCCUGCCUAUUUCUUGUGAAACUAUCAAGUCUCAAAGUGUCCGUAUCACAGAGACUUCUUUUUGGUUUUGGUGAUGGCUUUCCCAGCCGGGGCAAGCUCGUUUUUUAGACAUUUGCAUAUGUUUUCACCUUAUGGUUUCAGGUUGACUUUGAAGUUCAUUCUUUCAAGGACAGAAGGGAAUUCCUAACAGUUCACUAACAGUCAAGUUCCUGGCAAAGAAUUUCAUCUGCAUACCGUUGCUGUAGACUUGGGUGCUCAUGGAGAUUUUUAUACUUUCUGUUUUAAAAGAGAAUCUUUUCAUUGCAUGUAACUGUUCUGUUUCUAAUAAAAUGUUGAAGCAUUAUAUGCAUCUAUCAGAAGGUGAUAUGGCCUGAAGGCGACCUACAGAUGGUCAGUAUUUUCUAGAUAGCCGUAAUUGUUGGCAGGGAGAACCAGGCCAUGUUACUUAUGAGUUGUGCUCGGUGAAUUCCAGCUAAGACAAGGACCCUGCCCUACAGAUCCCAGAGAGGAAUUGCUGCUGUGUUGGGUAAAGGGAAGACCAGAAAGUUUCUGGAACUGCUCACUUACUCCCUUAACAACCAUUCAUGGAAGGUAUUGCACUGGGGGUUGAGAAUAUAGUGACCAAGGGCAAUGCAGUCCGUGCCCUCCAGGAACUUGGGGUCUCUCAGGAAGGAGGGCUGUGGUGAUAGAUAUGUCCCGGGCUCCGGAAGGGAUCCCCCAGAGUGACAAGGGAGAGGAGAGGGGCCCUGCCUCAGCCAACCGAGGGAGGUGCUGGGGGAAGGGAAGGGUGUUGUUGGGAUAAGAGAUUUGGUUCACUUUUGAGUGAUGUGUCCUAUAGCCAAAGAAGUGGGAAAGGCGUUUCAGCUAUGCAGAUAGAUACCGGGAUUUGAAAGGACAAUAUUUGGGUAAGGUGCCUUUUCCAAAACACAAAUAUGAUAGAAAAUCAAACCCUCUUUAAUCUAAAAUCCUGAUGAUUGGUGCAUUAGCGGAGGCACUGGGCUGAACUCCUAGAGCACAGCCUCCUUGUGUUCUCAUCCAUCAGCACUAUCGCCGGGCACAGGAUAGGGGCCCAGUUUGUGUUUGUGGAAGAAUCAAUGAACCUCUUAAACUUUUAUUUCCUUCAUCUCCUUCUUUUCACACUGAGAAAUUAGUGGAAGUAGAAAAAAAUGUAACUGCGUCUAAUUUAAUGGCUAUCUUCUAAGACAAUGUACUCCGCAUUAUCAUAGCCUAAUUUUCUCUACAUAAAUCCGUCUGGUUCUUCUAAGGUGACCAAUCAUUCUGCUACUGUCUCCCUGGCCCAGUGGAAGAAAGUAGGUUGGGGUUUUUUUUUUCGUUUUUUGUUUUGUUUUUCGAGAGCGAGCAUUUUAAAAUAUGAGAAGUCCGUAAGCUGUGGGUUCCCUUUGUGCCAAAGUCAGAGGUAGAGCACGGGUUUCUGGUUUUUCAGUUGUCUUACCUUCUCACACACCAAGAAACCACAAACAGGGAAUUAGGACCGAAAGACUCAAGCCCCACACAUACCCCGCGGGCUCACUCUCCCUCAGCAGGCAACCAAAGGGGACACUCGCUUUUCAAAAGAGCUGCACGGAGACCCCAACCCUGAAAAAGAAUCGUAGCUACACUUCUGAACCAGCAACCACGCGUGUUUCAGUGCUCCACGAGAAUGAACUCAUGCAAUCCUCACGGCAGAAGGGUGAGGAGGAAACCGUGAUCAUCUUUAGUUUACAGAUGGGGAAGCUGAGUCACAGGAGGGCAAGAAUUUGCUCAGCGUUACCAGCCGGUAAAUGCCGGGGCUGGACUCGGGAGGCACGGAGAGUGGGCUGCAGCUAAAGUGCAGACCACAUCACCUCCGUCCUGAAGAAGGGAAAACGCUGUGCCACGGAUGAGACAAGUGCACCGGAACGACGCUGGUACAUUUUGUGCUUAAAAACACUAGCAAUAUAGGACACUACGUGUUCAGUGUAAAACAACUCGAAAGGUUGUUAUGAGAAUCGAAAUUAGAACAGUUGUUGCUUUUUUUUUUUUCAAGUGACUGAGAUGUGCGUUUCGAGAUCUAGAAUUUGAUGAGCAUUCCAAGUCUCCAAAGAACCCUUCAGAACUAGUUCUUAGGAGCACAUGAGACAACGUUCAAACCUACGAAGCAAGUACAGUGAACAGGAAGCCUCCCCUCCACUUGUGAUUCAUAGUCACUGAACUUCCUCCCUCAGAGGCGACCAGAAUCAGGUGUUUGUUGUGUAACCUUCUGGAGAUAUUCUGUGCACAUACAAGCUUAUGUGUCUACAUAGAUGAUUUGGGGUAUGGGUGGGGAAAAUGAUAAUUUACUACGUCCAAGCAGUUCAGCACUUUGCUAUUUUUACUUAAGAUUAUAUGAAGGAGUGGGUGCCUGGGUGGCUCAGUCAGUUAAGCGUCCAACUUCGGCUCAGCUUAUGAUCUCACCGUCCGUGAGUUCGAGACCUGCACCAGGCUCUGUGCUGACAGCGCAGAGCCUGGAGUCUGCUUCUGAUUCUGUGUCUCCCUCUCUCUCUCUACUCCUUCCCCUCUUGUGCUCUGUCUUUCUUUCUCAAAAAUAAAAUAAAAACAUAAAAAAAAAAGAUUGUAUGCAGGAUCAAUACUUGGUCCAUAGUAGUAUAUUGAGUCUCGUCAAUCUGGUCAUUACAGUUGCUUUUAAUUGUUUUUUAUAUUGCUUAUAAAGGCGAUUGAUUUUCUCUCUAUAAAAUUUGCAUCCAGCCAUCGUUCUAAAUUUCUCUUGGUGUCUGUGAUAGUGUUUCCAAUGAUUCCCUUGUAUGUUCCAAGUUAGAGGUCAUAUAAUUUGAAUUCCCCAUUCUAAUUUUUAUACUUCAAUGUAUUUCUCUUAUCAGAUUGGAUGGACUAGUACCUCUAACACAGUGUCAGUGGGCAUUCUUAUCUUUUUCUUGACUGAAUUGGAAGCUACUAGUUUUUCUCUAUUAAACAUGAUGCUCAUUUUGGUGUUGAUGCACACACACAAACUAAAUAUCCAUCCAUCCAUACUUAAUUGACACUCUUUUUAUAGAUGUUAUAUUUUUAUAUCAUAUUGAUGAAUCAUCUAUCUUUUCCUGUAUUUCAGAAUAUUUAUUAAAAAUGGAUGUCAACUCCUAUAAAAUGCCCCUUAUUCAUAGAUGGAGAUGAUCAUUUGAUUUUUUUUCUUUUGAUGUGUCCAACAAUGAUA